rfam:Homo sapiens chromosome 7, GRCh38 reference primary assembly.
GCCUGUCAUGGUGGUGUGAGCCUGUAGUCCCAGCCACUUGGGAGGCUGAGGCAGGAGGAUUGUUUGAGCCCAGGAAUUCGAGGCCACAGUGUGCUAUGAUGGCACCAUGAAUAGCCACUGUAUUUCAGCCUGGGCAACAUAGCAAGACCCUGCCUCUA